UUUGCUGAAUGUGACCUCAGGCCAGGUGCGCCAGUCGAUGCACAAGGCGGCUGAUGCCGCGAGUGUUCUCGUGACCAGGCGGAAGUAGAUGCAUUUUAAGCAGCAUGUUCGCCCUUAAAUCGUUUUUUAACUUUCGUUUUACUUCCAGGGCGAUGAAAAAGGCCUUCGAAGAACUGGACAAGUUUUCUAUGGCCUUCAGGAGAUCUUGCCUUGCUUACAGUAAUGCUUUGACCGCGGCUCUUCCCAACGUGGGUGAGGGUGCUCAUGACGACGACGGUCCGUCAGGAGGCCCCGGCUCGAAGCCAGCCUUUUAGUCAGCCAAGGAGCCAGGCCCUGAUCAGACUACCGCCACCAAGACCGCCAGCGACGGCUCGACGACGACGAGGAGGAGGAGCAGCAGCAGGCGCGGACCGCUACACCUCCACCGCGGAAACGUCGUCCGGGUCGUCGCGAUGACGACGAUCAACCCC